UCGGGUUGUAAACUGCUUUUGUACGGAACGAAAAGGUUUGGCCUAAUAAGCUGAGCUCAUGACGGUACCGUAAGAAUAAGCACCGGCUAACUACGUGCCAGCAGCCGCGGUAAUACGUAGGGUGCGAGCGUUAAUCGGAAUUACUGGGCGUAAAGCGUGCGCAGGCGGUUAUGUAAGACAGAUGUGAAAUCCCCGGGCUCAACCUGGGAACUGCAUUAGUGACUGCAUAGCUGGAGUACGGCAGAGGGGGAUGGAAUUCCGCGUGUAGCAGUGAAAUGCGUAGAUAUGCGGAGGAACACCGAUGGCGAAGGCAAUCCCCUGGGCCUGUACUGACGCUCAUGCACGAAAGCGUGGGGAGCAAACAGGAUUAGAUACCCUGGUAGUCCACGCCCUAAACGAUGUCAACUGGUUGUUGGGUCUUCACUGACUCAGUAACGAAGCU
rnacentral:rRNA from 1 species